rnacentral:rRNA from 1 species
CCUACGGGUGGCAGCAGUGGGGAAUAUUGCGCAAUGGGCGCAAGCCUGACGCAGCGACGCCGCGUGAGGGAUGAAGGUCCUCGGAUCGUAAACCUCUGUCAGCAGGGAAGAACGGUCACUGUGCUAAUCAGCAGUGAAUUUACGGUACCUGCAAAGGAAGCACCGGAUAACUCCGUGCCAGCAGCCGCGGUAAUACGGAGGGUGCGUGCGUUAAUCGGAUUUACUGGGCGUAAAGCGGGCGUAGGCGGUAGGUCAAGUCAAGGGUGAAAUCCCCGGGCUAAACGUGGGAACUGCCUUUGAAACGGGCAAAUUGGAGUGUGGGAGAGUAUAGUGGAAGUGCAGGGGUAGGGGUGAAAGC